GCAAGUCGAACGGAAAGGCCCUUUCGGGGGUACUCGAGUGGCGAACGGGUGAGUAACACGUGGGUGAUCUGCCCUGCACUUUGGGAUAAGCCUGGGAAACUGGGUCUAAUACCGAAUAGGACCGCGCGCUUCAUGGUGUGUGGUGGAAAGCUUUUGCGGUGUGGGAUGGGCCCGCGGCCUAUCAGCUUGUUGGUGGGGUAAUGGCCUACCAAGGCGACGACGGGUAGCCGGCCUGAGAGGGUGUCC
rnacentral:rRNA from 1 species